UACGUAGGUGGCAAGCGUUAUCCGGAUUUAUUGGGUGUAAAGGGCGUGUAGGCGGGAAAGCAAGUCAGAUGUGAAAACUCAGGGCUCAACCCUGAGCCUGCAUUUGAAACUGUUUUUCUUGAGUGCUGGAGAGGCAAUCAGAAUUCCGUGUGUAGCGGUGAAAUGCGUAGAUAUACGGAGGAACACCAGUGGCGAAGGCGGAUUGCUGGACAGUAACUGACGCUGAGGCGCGAAAGCGUGGGGAGCAAACAGG
rnacentral:rRNA from 1 species